rnacentral:lncRNA from 1 species
UUGCUGUGUUCGUGUUGCCUAAGGGAACCUACUAUUAGACCAAACUCUCCCCAGGCGUGUGCCUUGCUCACAGGCUAACUGAUCACUUGAUGUCACCUCUCACUUUUAGCAGGCAGGCAGAACACAGGCACUUGAUAGGACAUGCUGUGCUCCAGCUCCGUGAGACCUGUUCAUCUCCUAUCCUCUAACAACAGAGAACUAUUUAUAGUGCUUCGGUCUGGAGUGGCAUCAACAGUUUUCAUAUGUGCUUCCAUUUGUGUGACAGACAGCACAGAGGUGAAUCUGAACAACUUGCCCAUUGUCACUCACCACACUGAGCACAUCUUGCCUGAUUUACAUGACACAGGAAACCACAGAAUGAUUUGGGAAGUACUGCAGAACUGCUCUCUGCAAAACUGGUUUGAAGUGAGAGAUGUACUUCAACUACAUUGAAAUUUAGUCAUCGCUGAAAGGAAAAAAAAGAGGAAAGCCUUGCAGGAUGAAGUGAAAAAGAACUCUUCUAGCAAAAGCUAACGUGUUAACUUCAAAUGCAAUGAUAUAAUUAUCCAAGUGGAUUUAGACGGAGUAAUGCAAUUAAUUUUACCCAAAGUCAUCAAAAAUGCCCCUUGUGAUCAUACAUUAUUCAAAAAGGAUGUUGUCACUAAACUUGGCAAUGCAUAAGAAACCUAAGAAAAAGUAGAACUAUCCAGCCUUUAGAAUUGCUGGCUCUCUUAUAUCCAAUAUGGGAGUUCAAGCUUUGUGGUGAUUUUGAAAAUGUACACAGUGAAACAAAAUGUGUGUGAGAAAGGAACUCGGAGUGACACACAUGGAAACCAUAUGGUAAAGACCAAUUUUCUACAUGGUAUUUGAUUUAUUUCAGUAGAGUAAGAA